GACCUGGUGGUGAAAUGUAUCACACCCACUCUUAAUAUGAUUGAAGGAGUGCCUUUGUGGGGAUCCCCGGUUCAAAUCCGGGCCAGGUCA